rnacentral:rRNA from 1 species
AUACAGGGGGUGCAAGCGUUAAUCGGAAUUACUGGGCGUAAAGCGUACGUAGGCGGUUCGUUAAGUUAGAUGUGAAAGCCCCGGGCUUAACCUGGGAACUGCAUUUAAAACUGGCGAACUAGAGUUGAGUAGAGGGGAGUGGAAUUUCAGGUGUAGCGGUGAAAUGCGUAGAGAUCUGAAGGAACACCAGUGGCGAAGGCGACUCCCUGGACUCGAACUGACGCUGAGGUACGAAAGCGUGGGUAGCAAACGGGAUUAGAAACCCUAGUAGUCC